UCCCGAGCUACGACGUCUCGGAAGCGGAAGGGGGAACCGAGAGAGAUGUGUGUUUGUUUUACUAUAGGAUCAUGGCUCGGCCGCUUCUCAGUUUCCGCAGCGCUGUGAAUGCAACCAUAGGGCAAACCACCCGCUGGACUUCCCAGGGUCUGACGGGGUGUGCGCUGGAGAUCCCAGGUUCCUCCCCUGUAAAAUGAGCCAACUCACAGGAUCCUGUGACGAUUACCUGAGGCAAUUGUAUAUGGACGAAGAGGACUGGGCUGCUGGCUCCAUAAGUAAUCUCAGGGACUGUGUUGACACUAUGCUAAAUAUAAAACAGGAGAAAACCCAACUUCAGUGGUUUAAAUCAUAGGACGUUUAUUUUACCAACAAGUCUGGAAGAGAGCCCAUGGUUGGUUCAGCAUAUUAACAACGUUAUCAAGAACCUAAGUGUUCCUCCUCAUUUCCAGUCUUCUAACCUCCGCAUAUCGGCAUGCCCUUCCAGCUGACUGCCUCAGUUGCAAGACGGUACUUCAGCUCCAACUAUGCAUCCUCCUACUGCUGCCUUGAGAGGCAGGAAAGAAGGGGACACAACAAAGGUUUUCUCAAUGACUGUAUAUGUCCUAUUUUGAGGAAAGGAUAUUGUCUCGAGAAGCUCCCAGGAAGACUUUGCCACUAUGUUAUCACCUAAGGCUUGUCACGUGGCCACCCUAGCUCCACAGGAGUCUGGAAAGAUGAUCUGGUGUUUUUUUUCCUCAAUUCUGGGUUGACUCUGCUUUGUGGUGUGCUUUAGUCCAAAUAACACCAGUGUAUGAUGGUGCUGUGAUAGGAGCACUUGGGUAUGAGCAUCCCUCACUGACAUGUGAUUCAAUCAGACUACAAAUAAACUACUCAGAGUUCAA